rnacentral:tRNA from 1 species
GGCUGGAUAGCUCAGUUGGUUAGAACAUGGUGCUGAUAACACCAAGGUUGCAGGUUUGAUCCCUGUAUAGGACA